UUGCCUCAGUAACGGCGAGUGAAGCGGCAACAGCUCAAAUUUGAAAGCUGGCUCUUUCAGGGCCCGCGUUGUAAUUUGUAGAGGAUGCUUCGGGUGCGGCGCUGGUCUAAGUUCUUUGGAACAAGACGUCAUAGAGGGUGAGAAUCCCGUAUGUGACUGGUUGCCUGUGCCUAUGUGAAGCUCCUUCGACGAGUCGAGUUGUUUGGGAAUGCAGCUCUAAAUGGGUGGUGUACUUCAUCUAAAGCUAAAUAUUGGGUCUAGACCGAUAGCGCACAAGUAGAGUGAUCGAAAGAUGAAAAGCACUUUGGAAAGAGAGUUAAACAGUACGUGAAAUUGUUGAAAGGGAAGCGCUUGCAAUCAGACUUGCGCUGCGUCGAUCAACCUGGGUUCUCCCUGGUGCACUCGGCGCAGCUCAGGCCAGCAUCAGUUUUGGCGGCUGGAUAAAGGCCUAGGGAACGUGGGUCGCCUCGGCGACCGUUAUAGCCCUAGGUGCAAUGCAGCCUGCUGGGACUGAGGACCGCGCUUCGGCUAGGAUGCUGGCGUAAUGGUUGUAAGCGACCCGUCUUGAAACACGGACCAAGGAGUCUAACAUUUAUGCGAGUGUUUGGGUGUUAAACCCAUACGCGCAAUGAAGGUGAACGGAGGUGAGAACCCUUAAGGGUGCAUCAUCGACCGAUCCUGAUGUCUUCGGAUGGAUUUGAGUAAGAGCAUAACUGUUGGGACCCGAAAGAUGGUGAACUAUGCCUGAAUAGGGUGAAGYCAGAGGAAACUCUGGUGGAGGCUCGCAGCGGUUCUGACGUGCAAAUCGAUCGUCAAAUUUGGGUAUAGGGGCGAAA
rnacentral:rRNA from 1 species